rnacentral:lncRNA from 1 species
GACGAUGCAGCGGGUGAGUCUUGCGGUUUUUCGUUUGUAUCCGCACGUUCCGUGCGGAGAAAUUAAAGAAUUUGGCCGUGCUUCAUUCUUGCCUCCGUGCAUGACAUUCCAACGACCGCUAUAAGUACUUCCUCUGAAGUCCAAUAUUCAUGAUCUACAUUGCAAGUGAAGUAAAGUACCCUGGACAAUAUUAUCUAGAGUUCUUGGAGUCAUCUACACCACAGGAAACCUUGACUGAUUUCGAAAAUUGCGAAGUGAGAAAAGUGCUCUAACGUGGCUAAGAGUUGUUUUGACUCUUAUUUCUAGCAAUGCUGUUGCCUACUAGCACUCUCCGCCACUUUAGUGACGACUAUACUUGUUGACUUUCGGUUCUAAAUUGCGAAUAGCCACCUUAAUAAAUUAUAAUUCUCACUUCAAUAUUUUCAAAAUCAAUCAAUGUUCCGUAUUGUGUUCUCUAUAAGGCUGAUAAAGUGAAUUAGAUUCUUUAACCCUCAGCGACGGAGUAAUGGGUCACAUGAAGAUUAGUUCAAUUUGCAAUCAGUGCUGAUAUAACUCGCUUGUAGUAAGGAGGGAGUCUGUCUCUCCUUUUAGUCAUUUAUAUAUAUAUAUAUAUAUAUAUAUAUAUACAUUAGUACAUAUACACAUACAUAGGUAUCCAUACAUACAAAUAUGCGUACAUAUAAAUAUACGUACACACACACACACACACACACACACACACACACACACACACACACACACACACACACACACGUGUGUGUAUAGUUAGUAAUCUGCUAUCCGUGUUUCAUUUAUCCAAAUUUCUGAUUAUUUGAAGUAGUUUCUAAGAUGUCAACAAUAUUUAUUUAUCUUUAUUUUUUUUUUUUUUUGCUUCUAUUAUCCACACUCCAGAAUAAUACUAGUGCUACAAUUUCGUUUCUUGUUUACAUUGGUUGCAAGUAAACUCUAAUAAAUAAACAUUAUGUAGAAAAUAUAAAUGAAAACAAGAUCAUAUCAAAAAGGUGUUACCUGCACUGGUAGAUAACACCCUGUUGACAAUUGCGUCUUUUCUCAUGAAAAAUACCACUCGUCGAUUGGCCAGCUAAUUUGAUAGCAGUCACAAAUAUAAAUAAGAGUAAAAUCCGUAUUAAGCGAAUGAAGCCAGUAUUUGAUUCAAAUAGUCAUCUAUGUAUCAUACUUAAUGUAUAAACAAUGUCGAUAGGCUAGUGCUUGUUUUGAGAUAACAUCUAUGCUAUAUUCGUUUGAGCAUGUAGCUGGCUAUGAUUACGAAUUAUUGACAACGCUCAAGAAGGCUGAAAUACAUCGGGUGUACACACUGGCCGGUCAUGGGACGAAUAUUCGCCUCUCUCUAAUAUUUAUAGUUUUUGACUCGGCAAGUUCAUGACACAUAUAAUCUCAUAUAUAAUCAGAUACUGCAGUAACUGUGUGAUACGUAAUGUGGAUAUGCAUGGCUUAGUGAUUAGUCAUGGUUUCGAUUGCUGGAGCAGGCAAUGCGUUGCUUUGUUAAGUAAAACACUUCUCUUCACGUUGCUCCAGUCUACUCAGCGGGCAAAAAUUAGUAAUCUUGCGACGGACCGGUGUCCCGUCCAGAGAGAAAUAUAUAUAUAUAUAUAUAUAUAUAUAUAUAUAUAUAUAUAUAUAUAUAUAUAUAUAUAUAUAUAUAUAUAUAUAUAUAUAUAUAUAUAUAUAUAUGUAUGUAUGUAUAAAUAUAUAUAUAUAUAUAUAUAGCCUACAGAUGUGAUCCAGAGAUUCUUUGUAUAGAAGACACUUGUGCUCAAAUGAUUCAAACUUAGAUUCCGAUGUCUUUACAGGGGAUCAACUCCACAGGAUAAAGAAUGGUUAUAAGAGGGAUCUAGUUGAGCGAGUAUAAUUGCUUCUCUCUCUCUCUCUCUCUCUCUCUCUCUCUCUCUCUCUCUCUUUAUAUAUAUAUAUAUAUAUAUACAUAGUUAAUCCAAACAUGAACAGAGAAAACAUAACAACGAGAGGACGUGGAACAAGUAUAGUGCUAUUAGAUGCUCAAGAAAGGAAAGAAAGAAGGAAGAUAUAACGUUUCGAGCGGAGCUCUUCGUCAGAAACAUAGAAAAAGGAAAUGUCCAAGGAAGGGAAGGCGGAGAAAGAAAAUCGCCAACGAUACACACGCGGUCACAUACAUGUGUGUGUGUGUGUGUGUGUGUGUGUGUGUAUGCUGCAGAAAACUGGAAAUCCGGUCUUAUGAUUCAAUAUUACACGGAAAGAAGCUUUAUCCUUUUAUCUUAUUUUUUAUCCAUAAAUGGCAAUAUUAAAAUGGUUUUAACACAUAAAAUGACCGAUAUGAUAAACGCUUUAAAAGUAUAGCAAACUCAAAGUUGUGUACAUCCAUUUUGCUUCGAGUGAGUAUUUGUUAAACGUAACAAAGUCGGUUGCUGUUACCAACAUUGUAAGGACAGAAUGAGCGCCAAAGAGAAUCAGUCACAAAAACGACAUUUCACAGUCACUGGAUCGUGAUGAAACGGUAUCGAAAAUUGCAAAAGAGGACAAAGUUUUGUCUAUUGAAUAAUAUAAUAAAAAGAACUUUGUAAAUAUGGAUUUUUGUCGUUGGGUUUUUUUUCUUUCUUUUUUUUUUUUUGUCUUUGUCAAAUUAUGUGCAAUAUGGUUCCCUUUGUGUACGCUCCAUUCGGCUAUCGGGAUAAUCAAUUAUCCCAGCCAAAUACAUCCCGCCAGUUUCGUUCAUAUAACCGUAGUGUGUGUGUGAGUGUGUGCAUGAGUGGGUGCGUGUGUGUGUCUGUGGCAUGCGGAUACGUGUGUGUGUGUGUGUGUGUGUGUGUGUGUGUGUGUAUGUGUGUGGCUUGCGGAUGCGUGUGUGUAUGUUUGUGACAGUGUGCAUCUAAACAGUAUGAUCUUUUCUACUAUGUAAUUACAUGUAUUAUUACACACACAAAUACAUAUGUAUAUAUUUAUACAAACACACACACAUAUACAUGCAUACAUACAUACAAAGUGUGUGCGUGUACGUACGUAGCUAUAUAUGUGUAUAUUUAUACACACACGCACACAAGCACACACGCACAAAAGCACACAAGCACAAACAUACGCAACACACGUAACUCUAUAAUGUACAAUAGAGUAUAGAACAUAUCUAUAUAUUAUUAGCCAACACUGUAAAUUAUAAAGAAUAUUAACAUGAUAAAUGCAGUACGCUCGCAGACGGAAAAAGAAGGAGCAUCUAUAUAAGCAUAAUUCAAUUCACACACAAACACGCAAGCACACAUCCGCGACGCGUAAUCACGGAGGUGUGAGUUCGAGUCUCAUAGCUGGCCGCCAACACUUUUUUCUGAAAAAUAGGGGUAGCUUAUCCUGUCCAGGCUAUAUUAUUAGCAUUGUCCUGCGUUUGAGAAUUUAAAAUCACUUCUUUAACUUUCUAAGACAUCUCAACGCUUCUAAAGCAAACUUCGUUAUAACCUGGUGCACCUUAUAUUAUGUAUAUUUUUCCACUGUCUCUCUAGUAGACUGCCAAAUGAAGCACUAGCUCUGCUCAUCAUGUAUGUGAUUUCCUGGUCCUGUCGUGCAUUGCCUAAGAUAGUAUUGCUUAGAUAUUUGAAUGCUGUGGAUAGGACUAAUAGUCUAAUAGUGAUGUUUUCUUCUUUUACAGGGACGUUUAGAUUCUCCACAAGUUGGUAAUGGCAUUUAGUUUUUCUGACGUUAAUCUUCAAGAUGAACUGUUGUGCAGCACUGGAAAAGCUAUCUACCAUUUUCUGCAUAUGUUCAGCGCUGUGGGCAACCAGUACGCUAUCAACAGCGAACAGGAUCUCUCGCGCAAGGGCACUCGUAGUGCACGACUUUGCUUUAUACUGUGCAACCUCGAACAAAUCAGCAUCAUGUCACGUCUGGAUGUAAAUCGCGCCUCCUCCAACUCCUUCGAAGGCAACUUCCAGCAUUGCUGCGAGAUAGAGGAAGAAUAAUGC